AUACGUAGGGAGCGAGCGUUGUCCGGAAUUACUGGGUGUAAAGGGUGCGUAGGCGGGGAUGCAAGUCAGAUGUGAAAUGUAUGGGCUCAACCCAUGAACUGCAUUUGAAACUGCAACUCUUGAGUGAGGUAGAGGUAAGCGGAAUUCCUAGUGUAGCGGUGAAAUGCGUAGAUAUCAGGAGGAACACCGGUGGCGAAGGCGGCUUGCUGGGUUUUUACUGACGCUGAGGCUCGAAAGCGUGGGUAGCAAACAGGAUUAGAUGCCCUGGUAGUCCACGCUGUAAACGAUGAUUACUAGGUGUGGGGGGACUGACCCCUUCCGUGCCGCAGUUAACACAAUAAGUAAUCCACCUGGGGAGUACGGCCGCAAGGUUGAAACUCAAAGGAAUUGGCGGGG
rnacentral:rRNA from 1 species